AGCAGAACAACUCAAACUUUGAGCAAUGUCAAUCGAACUUUGAGCAGCGUCUGUCAGACUUAGAACAAGAUGUUCUAGACUCUCAGCAACGUG
ensembl:ncRNA Y34F4.7 ncRNA